AGUGGUACAUGUCCUCCAAUGGUUUAAGAAAGAAAACAUUCCUACAAUGGUUGCAGUGGUAGUGAUAGUACUCCUGUUUCUUAGUUGUUGCGGAUGUCUUGCCAAGAUUGUUCGUAGUUGCUGCGGAUGUCUUGCCUGGAGUGUUCGUAGUUGCUGCGGAUGUCUUGCCUGGAGCGUUCGUAGUUGCUGCGGAUGUCUUUUCAAGAGUGUUAAAACAAUGAAAGCACCAGGGAGGAACUAUCGCAUACCAAGGAGUAAUUUUGAAGCAAAUCCUUCUGCUUAUUUUAGGGACUUGCGCAAGGGGUAGAAGAUAUAUAUCGAUCCUAAGCCUCCAAUAUGGUUGUUUCCAGUGACUUCUUCACCGGCAGCAGACUCUCUUUUCUUAUUCUCUUCAUCGACCGUACUGUAUUUUCUUCUUUUCGUGUGUUUUUCAAAAGCUCUGAUCUGUUCUAGCUAGUUGAUGCUUUGGGGGCUUAGUAGGAUGUUAUGCUGCAUGGGGUGGGGUGAGCUUGCUUCAACCUACAUGUUUCAAUAAUGAAUUGAAUUGGUCUUCAUGAUCAACCAUAUAUAUCCAUUUCAUAUAUAUAUAUAUAUAUAUAUAUAUAUAUAUAUAAUAUACAUAUACAUGACAAUUGACAUACAUGCUUGCAUCUUCCUUGAGUGAUCAUUGCUUCAAUUAAAUAUGAUUUUGUUUUCUAUAUUAAUGUUCUUUACUUGGGAUUUCGAAAACUUUCAAAAAUCAAUUGAAAUGAUUUUGAUUCGUUUAGUUUGUUUGGUCCCAGUUGGGAAUCGGUGGAUAAUCUGGAAGCCAAUCCGAGGGUUUUCCAAAUAAUUCCUAAUGUACCCUGUAUAUCAGCCAAGCAUGCAUGCGAAGGGAGAAAGAAGGAGUCUUUUUUUUUUUUAUUAUUAUUAUUAUUAUUAUUUGCUUAUAGUGUUCUUUAAAAAUCUUCCAAUCAGUUCUAUCAAUCGAUAUUUCUAAACUUGAUCCAAUCACUGAUUUAGUCAAACUAUUAAGCCACUAAUAUGAUUCACACUCGUAUUUUUCAAAUUACAUGAAUAUUCAUAAUUAUUAAAUUAAAUUAAUUCAAGAAAUUUAAGAUACAACUAUUACUUUUGUUUAUGAGCGUAUAAUUCUGAUAGAAACUUUUCAAUUAAAUCCUUUUAAUUGAUAGCAUCUUUUCUGCUAAUGAUAAAGUUUUUGAGGCUAAUAUCUAUAUUAAUAUGGCUCCUCUCAAAGUUCAGGUGUUUUUUAAGAUAGAGUUAGAAUUUGUUUGGGAACAUGAUGCAAACUGUGUUUCUAAAAAUUUUGAUUCUUUUCACUUAAAAAAAAAUUAUAUUUUUAGAUCGUUUUGAUAUGUUGAUAUUAAAAAUAAUUUUUAUUAAAUAAAUUUUUUUUAUUUUGAUGUAUUUUUUGGCGAAAAACACUUUAAACCGUCACUGUUAUCACAAUCUCAAACAGGCUAAUAUUAAAGCUUUUCUUCAUCACUAGAAAUGUUUUUUUAAAUGUGCUAGUUUUUAAGAGAAAAUCAAAUUUCAAAGCUGAUAGCGAAAGUGGGAAGACACGAAAAUCAGAAUCGUAGUGACUUUUGCUCUAUGAAAGCUAACAUGGGACCUCAAAAGGCAACACCGUAAUGUAUUCAAUGGCUUAUACUUUCAUUAGGUGGCAGUGGUAAAAAAAAUUGUUAAGAAAAAAGUAACCUGAAUUGCACCUAUAAACCAUGAUGCGAUCUUGAAGAAAGAUUUAAUUUUUCUACGAGAAAUGUCUGGUGAUCUUGAGCUAAGAUAUUAAAUUGAGAGAUUUUUAUAACUUUGAGAAGUUAAUUAAUUGAAAUGAUUUUAUUUUGUUAGUUUGGGCCCCAAGUGGAAAUUGCUGGAUAAUUUGGAAAGUAAUCCAUGGUUAUAUAUUCCAAAAAAUUCUUAAAGUGAUUCACCUCUAGCCAAGCACCCAAAAAAUUCGGACGUGUUGUCUAAUUUUGUGUUGGCUUUUGCUUUUGUAUUUACAAUGAAAUACAAUCCUCCAUACCAAAAAAAAAAAAAAAGGAGCAAAAGCAAAAAUCAUUGUUUUUUUUUUAAAAAUAAAUUUAUUUUAUUUUUUAUUUCAAAUUAAUAUUUUUUUAGUAUUUUUAAAUUAUUUUGAAGUACUAAAAUAAAAAAAUAUAUUAUUCUGAUGUAUUUUCAAAUAAAAAAGAACUGCAACUAUAUUUUUAACCAUGUCAUAGUAAAGCCUGCCACUAAAAAAAAAACAUGAUAAUAAAAAUAAAGAAAAUACUUCUACACUAUAAAUAAAGAAAAUACUUUUAGUUUUCUUUUCUUUUGGCUUUCUUUUUUAACUUUUGGCAUCUCGAAUCUGACAAGAGGAGUAUUGAACGUGGCAAUGAUUUCACAUGAAGUUGCUUCACUUGUAAGUUUUGUUAAUUGAAUUUAUUGAAUUUUUGAUGCCCAUCGAUCAUUUUUGCCAUUUUUAAUAGUGUGAUGUACUGUCGUUUCGUUUCCUUCCUCUUCUAUUACCAUCUUUAAUAAAUCCAAAGGAAUAAAAAAAAAAUAAAUCAACCUUAAACCUUUGGGAGAACCAAAGGAAUAAUAAUAAAAAACUUUAGAGGAGUGGUCUCAUGAUCACCAUUACUAAGUUUCUUUUCUUUUGUUAAAACUCAAGAAAGACUUGGUGGUGGAUGGAUAGAUUACAAUUGACACAGAUUUUCUGCGUCUUCCUUAAGCGAUUAUUUUUUAUUUGUAUCUUGUUUGUUUUUAUAUAUUUUUUUAAAUUUUAAAUUUUAAAUUUUUUAAAAAAUUAAUAUAUUUUUAAUAUUUUUAGAUCAUUUUAAUACAUUAAUAUCAAAAAAAAUAAUAAUAAAAUAAUUUUAAUGUAUUUCUUAUUAAAAAAUAUUUAAAAAAAUAAUCGCAACCAAACUUUCAAACACCUCUGUAUACCAUUUAUUUUCUGGAAAUACUUUACUCACUUGUUUAUGAUAGAUUACUUACUGGGUAACGAAGAUUGUGAAACGAUAUUGAAAUGAUUUUGCUUUCUAUAAUGUUCUUUACUUGGAAUCUCAGAUAAUAAAAAUGAUAAUAAUAAUGAUUUAAACGCAUUGAAACCCGAUCCAAACUUAAAUAAAUCAAUCUUUUUCUUUAUAAAAGCAAAACAUUAUUGUAAUAAUCCAAGCCUUUUUCAAGUCACUCCUCAAGUCAAGUUAUAACUACGUAAAAACCACUUCUUUUUUCUUUCAUUUUCUCUUGAUAAAAGGCACCAUUAAUUGUGUGUUCCCUGCUCAUAUGUCAUUACACUCUUCGUUUCUCGUUUCCUCUUGAUUCUCUUCCUCAACCAGAAACUCUCCUCCCCAUUCAUUUCUAUACAAAUCGCAGUCUACGUAUCCCCUGAGCAAUGGAACUACCAACUUUUCUUUCCACAAUUAUCAAUAACUUUUAUUCUCAAAAAAAGAAAUUUCUGGUUUCUGAUGCUUUGUAUGAUUACAUACGUUCGCCUUUUGAUCUAACUAAGAAAUUUAUAGGUUCCGAUGCAGUGUCUGAUGUAACCCACAAGCUUUCUGAUCAAAUAAAGAAAUUUCUGGCUUCUGGUGCUGUGUCUGAUUUCAUCCACACUCCUUUUGAUCUGAUAAAGAAGAAGUUUACAGCGUCUGAUGCAGCGUCUGAUUUCAAUAUCCGCAAGCUUUCUGAUCUAACAAAGAAAUUUCUGGCUUCUGAAACAGUGGUAGAUGUCCUCCGAUGGCUUAAGAAAGAAAGUGUUCCUAUAAUGGUAGCUGUGGUAGUGAUAGCACUCCUGUUUGGUGGUUGCUGUGGAGGUGCUGCCAAGAGUGUUAAAACAAUGAAAGCACCAGGGAGGAACUAUCGCAUGCCAAGGAGUAAUUUUGAAGCAAAUCCUUCUGCUUAUUUUAGGGGCCUGCGCAAGGGGUAGAAGAUAUAUGUCGAUCCUAAGCCUCCAAUAUGGUUGUUUCCAGUGACUUCUUCACCGGCAGCAGACCCUCUUUUCUUCUUCUCUUCAUCGACCCUGCUGUAUUUUCUUCUUUUCGAGUGGUUUUUCAAAAGCUUUGAUCUGUUAUAGUAGAUGCUUUGGGGGCUUAGUAGGAUAUUAUGCUGUAUGGGAUAGGCUGGGCUGGGGUGAUCUUGCUUCAACUUACAUGUUUCAAUAAUGAAUUGAAUUGGUCUUCAUGAUCAACCACAUAUAUCCAUUUCAUAUAUAUAUAUAUAUAUAUAUAUAUAUAUAUAUAUUAUAUACAUAGCUUAUAUUUACUUGACAAUUGACAUACAUGCUUGCAUCUUCCUUGAGUGAUCAUUGCUUCAAUUAAAUAUAUAUGAUUUUGUUUUCUAUAUUAAUGUUCUUUACUUGGGAUUUCGAAAACUUUCAAAAAUCAAUUGAAAUGAUUUUGUUUCGUUUAAUUUGUUUGGUCCCAGUUGGGAAUUGGUGGAUAAUCUGGAAGCCAAUCCGAGGGUUGUCCAAAUAAUUCCUAAUGUGCCCUGUAUAUCAGCCAAGCAUGCAUGCGAAGGGAGAGAGAAGGAGUCUUUUUUUUAUAUUAUUAUUUGUUUAUAGUCUUCUUUAAAAAUCUUCCAAUCAGUUCUAUCAAUCGAUAUUUCUAAACUUGAUCCAAUCACUGAUUUAGUCAAACUAUAAAAGUCACUAAUUCAUCAAUGAGUCAAUAAUCAUGCUGUAGUGGUUGGAUAGUUGGCAUUAUAAUAUAUGUAUGUUUUACCAUAUGUGAAGCAUAAAUAAAUAAUAACAAAGAAAAUUAUGCUAUAUUCUGUUUUGCUUUGUUUCUAGCUUCUGCUUUCUUUUGUCAAAAGUUGGUUGGUUGAACAUGACAUCAAUUUCAAGUGUAUCUGUCAAGAUAAUGUAGAAAUGCAUAGCCUAAUUCUUUGAAGGGUUAAGAGAUGCAACUAACUCACCUUUUGUUAUUAUUUUUUUCAAAACUUAAUUUUAGGUUUUAUAUUGUAUUUCUUUUUUAUUUAGUAUUCUGAUUUUUCCUUUGGUUUAUGUUCUAUUUAAGAAGUUUUAUGUAAAAAUCUUUUUCAACAAUUUUUUUUCCCGUGUAGAUACCAUUUGCGUAGUACGUAAGGCCCUAUCUUAUAUUCUCAGAUGUGUUGCAUAAAUCCUACUUCCCUACGAAGGAAAGAAGAAAAUUAUGAUAUCUUCUAUCUUGCUUUUGCUUUCUUUCUUUACCUUUGCUUUGUUUUGUCAAAAGUGAGAUUUUCCCCGCAUUAACACUGAUAAAAGAUAUUUCCUAAACUAAAAAUAUUUUGAUAUGUAACCUGGUAGAUGUUCGUUUUGGUUUUGACAGAAUUGAGCAUGAUGUUAUCGAAUCAAUUCAAGUUUUUGAUUUGAUUAAUAAAUUUUGUUUUUCUAUUUUGUAUUUAAAACAGAUUGGUCCAGGCUUCGAUGCUGGCCGAACCUUGAAUUUAAUUUUUGUUGUUUUUAAAAAUCAUUUGAUUUAGUCGAACUAUUAUUUUUGUUGUAUUUUUUUUAAAUUAUACUAAAAAAUAUUCAUAGUUAUUAAAUUAUACAUGAUUAAUGAGUUGAUUAAAAUAUAUAAUUAAAUUUUUAACUGGAUUAAACAUUUGAUAUCCAACAUUUUCAAUUCAGUCUAAUAAAAACUUAAAUAAAUCUAUUUAAAAAAAAAAAAACAUCACAGUCACUAAAUACUUUUCCAAGCCCAUCCUCAAGUCAAGUUAUAACUACAUAAAAACCACUUUUUUCUUUUUCUUUUCUUUUUCUUUCAUUUUCACUUGAUAAAAGACACCAUUAAUUGUGUGUUGCCUUCUCAGAUGUCAUUACCCUCUUCGUUUCUUUCUUCCUCUUGAUUCUCUUCCUUAAGCGAUCAUUACUUCGAUUAAAAUAAUCCCAUUACUAAGUUUCUUUUCUUUAGUUAAACCUCAAAUUAAGAAAAGUUGGUGGUGAGCGGGUAGAUGACAAUUGACACAGAUGCUCUGCAUCUUCCUUGAGCGAUCAUUCCUUCGAUUAAAUAUGAUUUGUUUUCUAUAAUUGAAUCACGAUAAAAUAAAUACUUUACUCACUUGUUUGUGAUAGAUUAUUUAUUGGGUAGCGAAAAUUGUGAAACGAUUAUUUAAAGUCAUUGAAAUGAUUUUGCUUUCUAUAAUGUUCUUUACUCGGGAUUUCGAAAACUUUCAAAAAUCAAUUGAAAUGAUUUUGUUUCUUUUAAUUUGUUUGGUCCCAGUUGGGAAUUGGUGGAUAAUUUGGAAACCAAUCCAAGGGUUUUCCAAAUUACUUGUUUAUUAUUAUUUGUUUAAAGCCUGUCUCAGCCAAGUAUGCGAAGGGAGAGAGAAGGAGUCUUUCAUUAUUAUUAUUAUUAUUUGUUCAUAGUCUUCUUUAAAAAUCUUCCAGUCAAUUCCAUCAAUCGAUAUUUCUAAACUUGAUCCAAUCACUGAUUUAGUCAAACUAUUAAGCCACUAAUAUGACUCACACUCGUAUUUUUCAAAUUACAUGAAUAUUCAUAAUUAUUAAAUUAAAUUAAUUCAAGAAAUUUAAGGUACAACUAUUACUUUUGUUUAUGAGCGUAUAAUUCUUAUAGAAACUUUUCAAUUAAGUCCUUUCAAUUGAUAGCAUCUUUUCUGCUAAUGAUAAAGUUUUUGAGGCUAAUGUUUGGAUUAACAUGGCUCCUCUGAAAGUUCAAGUGUAUUUUUGGUUGGUAAUCGAGGAUAAAGUUAGAGUUUGUUUGGGAACAUGGUGCAAACUGUGUUUCUAAAAAUUUUGAUUUUUUUCGCUUAAAAAAAAAUUAUGUUUUUAAAUCGUUUUGAUAUACUGAUAUUAAAAAUAAUUUUUAUUAAAUGAAAAAACUUUAUUUUAAUGCGCUUCUUGGCGAAGAAAACUUUAAACCGCCACAAUUAUCACAAUCUCAAAUAGGCUAGUAUUAUAACUUUUCUUCAUCACUAGAAAAUUUUGCCUCCCACUCAAGCUUUGUGUGUCUUUUGCUUAUGAUGGAGCACCUUUCAUAUACUAUAACUUUUUUAGAAAUGUUUGGAUGAAAGUCUUGAAUUGAUGGGGUAUUUAACGAUAUUUAUUGAGAACACUAGACUUGUUGCUGCUAUAAUGGUUCAGAAUGGUACAAUGCAAAUUUCAAUGGUUAGCUUGGAGACUAAUCUCUAUUAGUACCAAUUAGGGUAAUUGAUUAUUGAGGAAUAAUAUUAUUUUUGAGAAGAGAAUUAUAAACUUGUUUAAUUGUUUCUCCACCAUCUUUUAUCGGGUUGCUAUUUGAUUGUAUACUUUAGAUUCGAACUUUACUUAUACAGAAGAUGACAUCUUAAGAUAUUUUGAUGGCAUUAAAUUGUGGUAUAAUAAGAAAACUUAGUUAGUCAUUUUUGGUUUUGCUUCUCCUUUUAUGGUCUUUUUGUUUUUGUUGUGGCAGACCAACUUUUUUUUUUUGCUCUCUCUAUUCCUUUAAGUGUUUUUUUUUUUAUGUCCCUGUAUUUUACAUUGGUUGUUUUAUGAUCUUUUCAAUAUACUCUCGAUGAUUAGCUAAAAAAACUAUUACUUUAGCUGUAAUAUUUCUUUUAAUUAUACUCAUAAUUAAAUAUUCAUAGUUAUUAAAUUAUACCCGAUUCAAUGAAUUGAGUUUAAUGCAAGUUAAGUUUAUAGUGGAAUUGAACAUGAAUUAAAACAUAUUUAAUUCAGCAUAAUAAAAACUUAAAUAAAUCAAUAUUUUUUUUUAAAAAAACAAAAACAAAAAAAAAACAAAAUAUCACCAUAGCCCAAGCCUUUUACAAGUCAAUCCUCAAGUCAAGUUAUAACUACGUAAAAACCACUGUUUUUUUUUUUUUUUUCAGUUGAUAAGAGGCACCAUUAAUUGUGUGUUCCCUUCUCAUAUAUAUGUUACUGUGUCUGAUUUCAUCCACAAGCUCUCUGACCUAAUAAUGAAAUUUCUAGCUUCUGAAACAGUGGUCUAUGUCCUCCAAUGGUUUAGGAAAGAAAAAGUUCCUAUAAUUGUUACAGUGGUAGUGGUAGUGAUAUUUUGAUGGCAUUAAAUUGUGGUAUAAUAAGAAAACUUAGUUAGUCAUUUUUGGUUUUGCUUCUCCUUUUAUGGUCUUUUGGUUUUUGUUGUGGCAGACCAAUUUUUUUUUUUGCUCCCUCUAUUCCUUUAAGUGUUUUUUUUUUUUUUUUAUGUUCCUGUAUUUUACAUUGACUGUUUUAUGAUCUUUUCAAUAUACUCUCGAUGAUUAGCUAAAAAAACUAUUACUUUAGCUGUAAUAUUUCUUUUAAUUAUACUCAUAAUUAAAUAUUCAUAGUUAUUAAAUUAUACCCGAUUCAAUGAAUUGAGUUUAAUGCAAGUUAAGUUUAUAGUGGAAUUGAACAUGAAUUAAAACAUAUUUAAUUCAGCAUAAUAAAAACUUAAAUAAAUCAAUAUUUUUUUUAAAAAACAAAAACAAAAAUAAAAACAAAAUAUCACCAUAGCCCAAGCCUUUUACAAGUCAAUCCUCAAGUCAAGUUAUAACUACGUAAAAACCACUGUUUUUUUUUUUUUUUCAGUUGAUAAGAGGCACCAUUAAUUGUGUGUUCCCUUCUCAUAUAUAUGUUAUUACAAUCUUCGUCUCUCGCAUCCUCUUGAUUCUCUUCCUUACCCAUAAACUCUCCUCCCCGUUCAUUUCUAUACAAAUCAGAGUCUACCCCCUAAGCAAUGGAACCACCAACUUCUCUCUCCACAAUUUUCAAUUACCUUUUUGAUCUAAUAAAGAAAUUUCUGGCUUCUGGUGCUGUGUCUGAUUUCAUCCACAAGCUCUCUGACCUAAUAAUGAAAUUUCUAGCUUCUGAAACAGUGGUCUAUGUCCUCCAAUGGUUUAGGAAAGAAAAAGUUCCUAUAAUUGUUACAGUGGUAGUGGUAGUGAUAGCACUCCUGUUUCGUGGUUGCCGUGGAGGUCCUGCCAAGAGUGGUAAAACAAUGAAAGCACCGGGGAGGAACUCUCGCAUACCAAGGAGUAAUUUUGAAGCAAGUCCUUCUGCUUAUUUUAGGAACUUGCGCAACGGGUAGAAUAUAUAUCGAUCCUCAGCCUCCAAUAUGGUUGUUUCCGGUGACUUCUUCACCGGCAGCAGACCAUCUUUUCUUCAUCGACCCUACUGUAUUUUCUUCUUUUCGAGUGGUUUUUCAAAAGCUUUGAUCUGUUCUAGCUAGUAGAUACUUUGGGGGCUUAGUAGGAUGGUAUGCUGGGCUGGGGUGAGCUUGCUUCAACUUACAUGUUUCAAUAAUGAAAGUGAAAUAUUGGUCUUCAUGAUCAACCAUAUCAAUUUCAUCAGUUCAUAUAUAUAGAUUAUAUUUACAUUUGUUGCAAGAAUAACAAUUACUGGCAUUUCCAUCAAGAACACGAAUAACAGAAAUUAAUGACCAUUACUCUUUUACUUGCGUCCAUCUAAAAUAUAUAUGACCGACACUCGUAUUUUCCAAAUUACAUGAAUAUUCACAGUUAUUAAAUUAGAUUGAUUCAAGAAAUUUAAGAUCCGGAUCCGAGUACUGAUCUGAGCUAAGUUUGUAAUUGAAUUCAACAUGACAAGAUCUUCAAGGAAGGUCUCAAAUCAUGAAAAAUGCCGAAGAGCAGUUAUGACAGCAACAGUUCAGAGUUCACCGACUGAAGCUGGGGAAAAUAAAGAACGCUAAAUUCUUUCAUUUGUUAAUGGGAAUAAUAACCAGAAAGAAGAAGAGUGCCAUGCAUACUCUUUAUUAAUGUUAAUGGGAAGACUGUAUCUAAGCCUUCAGAGGUGAGGAAUGAAAUUGUUUGGGAGUGUGAUGUUGUGCUGUUGGUUUGCUGGAGCUAUAUUAAUGGUGAACUAUCAUCAUGGAUGAACGGAGAUAAGCUAUAGGAAUCUUGAACCAUUUGUUGGUUUUGAUCCCAUUAAUUAAGCUGCUGGGAGCCAUGAUGCUGUUUUGAUCUCAUUCUUUUCAAAUAACAGUCUUGUUUUUCUUCAGCUCUGUUUUGCUUCGGUACCUUAUGAUUUUACUUUUCCCUGAUGACCUCUUGCAUGGGUUGUUUAUUUUCCUGCCUUAAUUCUCUAGGCUCAAUCUAUUUUGCUUGUAGUAAUAUAAUAAUAAUAAUAAUAAUAAUAAUAAUAAUAAUAAAGCAGUAAGCAGUAACUACAUAACUGUAGUGGGUGGAGGCUGGAGCAGUAAUUAUAAUAAUAACUAUUUUUCCAGAAGAGUAAUAAUGUAGAUGGGUUUAAAGAAUUUGAUAAUUAUGAGUAGUCAAGUGUAUCUGUCAAGAUAAUGUAGAAAUGCAUAGCCUAAUUCUUUAAAGGGUUAAAGAUGCAACUAGCUCACCUUUUGGUAUUAUUAUUUUUUUAACUUAAUUUCAGGUUUUAUAUUGUUUUUCUUUUGAUUUAGUUUUAAUUUAAGAAGUUUUGUGUAAAAAUCUUUUUCAACAAUUUUUUUUCCUUGUGUUGAUACCAUUUUUUGCGUAGUGAGGCCCUACGAAUGCUUUUGCUUUGUUUCUUUACUUUUGCUUGUGCUUUCUUUGUUAAAAGUGAUAUUUUCCCCACAUUAACACUGGUAAAAGAUAUUUUCUAAACUAGUAAAUAUUUCUCAAAUAUAAUAUAGUAAAAGAAAUUGUGCUUAUUACAUGAUAAAAAAUCAAGAUUGAUAUGUAACUUGAUUUGUUUUGAAAGAAUCUAGGUUUUGAUUGGGUUGAACUCAGAUCGAGUCACAAGUAAACUCGAGUUUUUAACUUAAUCAAUAAAUAUUUUUUUCAUUUUAAAUUUAAAAUAAAUUUAGGCUCAAAUGAGUGGAACAAUUAGAUUUUUAUUGUUUUUAAAAAAUCAUUGAUAUAGUUAAACUAUUACUUAUGCUGUAUUUUUUUUUUUAAAUUAUACUAAUAAAAAUUCAUAGUUAUCAUUUAUAUAGUUAUUAAAUUAUUCCCGAUUCAAUGAGUUGUUUUAGAAAAAUCUAAUUAAGUUGCUAGUUGAAUUAAACAUUUUGUCGAUAUAAAACGUGUUUGACAGUGUGGUAGCGGUUGCUUUUCAAAUAGUUUUUUGUGUCGAAAUACAUGCCAAUGAUGUUUUUUCAUUUUUUAAAAAUUAUUUUUGAUAUCAGUACAUCAAAACAAUCUAAAAAAUACAAACCAAACUCAAUUUUAACAAAAAAAAAUAAAAUUCAAAUUUGCACCAAACGCAGAGACAAACGAUCUCUAGUCAAACAUGUUCAAUUCAGCCUAAUAAAAACUUAAAUAAAUCAAUAUUUAAAAAAAUAAAAAAAACGAAACAUCGCUGUCACUCAAUACUUUUCCAAGUCAAUCCUAAGUCAAGGUAUAACUACGUAAAAACCACUUCUUUUUUCUUUCAUUUUCACUUGAUAAAAGGCACCAUUAAUUGUGUGUUCCCUGCUCAUAUGUCAUUACACUCUUCGUUUCUCGCUUCCUCUUGAUUCUCUUCCUUACCCAGAAACUCUCCUCCCCAUUCAUUUCUAUACAAAUCGCAGUCUACCCCCUAAGCAAUGGAACUACGAACUUCUCUCUCCACGAUUUUCCAUUACCUUUUUGAUCUGAUAAAGAAAUUUCUGGUUUCUGGUGCUGUGUCUGAUUUCAUCCACAAGCUUUCUGAUCUAACAGAUACAUUUCUAGCUUCUGAUACAGUGGUACAUGUCCUCCAAUGGUUUAAGAAAGAAAACGUUUCUACAAUGGUUGCAGUGGUAGUGAUAGUACUCCUGUUUCUUAGUUGCUGCGGAUGUCUUGCCAAGAUUGUUGGUAGUUGCUGCGGAUGUCUUUCCAAGAGUGUUAAAACAAUGAAAGCACCAGGGAGGAACUAUCGCAUGCCAAGGAGUAAUUUUGAAGCAAAUCCUUCUGCUUAUUUUAGGGGCUUGCGCAAGGGGUAGAAGAUAUAUAUCGAUCCUAAGCCUCCAAUAUGGUUGUUCAAUUCCAGUGGCUUCUUCACCGGCAGCAGACUGUCUUUUCUUCUUCUCUUCAUCGACCGUACUGUAUUUUCUUCUUUUCGUGUGUUUUUUCAAAAGCUUUGAUCUGUUAUAGUUGAUGCUUUGGGGGCUUAGUAGGAUAUUAUGCUGCAUGGGAUACAUCAUACAUGUUUCAAUAAUGAAUUGAAUUAACACCAAAGCUUGUAGCCCAGCGGUGACAAGGAAUUUCCUUGUUAUUAUGGGUUCAAGCCUCAACGUGUACGUUUAUUAUCCCGCGGUGCCUUACAUGCUCAUGAUGUUCAGUGAAUUGUGAGAUUAAAAUAAAAUAAUGAAUUGAAUUGAUCAAUUAUAUAUAUAUAUAUAUAUAUAUAUAUAUAUAUAUAUAUAUGUGACAAUUGGCACAGAUGCUCUGCAUCUUCCUUGAGUGAUCAUUGCUUCAAUUAAAUUUGAUUUGUCCCUAUAAAAUAAAUGCUUUACUCACUUGUUUGUGAUAGAUUACUUAUUGGGUAACGAAAAUUGUGAAACGAUUAUUUAAAGUCAUUGAAAAUAUUUUGUUUUCUAUAAUGUUCCUUACUCGGGAUUUGGAAAACUUUCAAAAUUAAAGUCAUUGAAAUGAUGUUGUCUCGUUUAAUUUGUUUGGUCCCAGUUGGUGAUUUUUUUUUUUGAUUUACGUGGGUGUUUGGGCCAGCUUGCGCGCAUCACGACUAAUCUCACGGCCCACUGAACACCCUGCAAACCCAAUGGGCAUGUAAGGCACCGCGGAGAUGACAUGCAUGCACAUGAGGACUCGAAUUUAGAAGCAGCGGAAAGAGACAAGCUCCUCCCACCGCCAAGCCAAGACCCUCAGUGCACCGGGUCAGGUCAGUGCAUGCUUGCAUCUUCACCACCCGACUAUCUUUAAUUAUUACUAGAUAAGUGACCCACGGUAUACUGCAAGCCAACCCAAGUAUUUUUUUUUUUUAAAAAAAACAAAUAAAAUCCCAGAUAGCGAAAGUGGGAAGACACGAAAAUCAGAAUCGUAGCGACUUUUGCUCUAUGAAAGCUAACAUGGGACCUCAAAAGGCAACACCAUAAUGUCUUCCAUGGCUUAUACUUCCAUUAGGUGGCAGUGGUAAAAAAAUUGUUAAGAAAAAACUAACCUGAACACCUAUAAACCAUGAUGCGAUCUUGAAGAAAAGAUUUAAUUUUUCUAUGAGAAAUGUCUGGUGAUCUUGAGCUAAGAUAUUAAAUUGAGAGAUUUUUAUAACUUUGAGAAGUGAAUUAAUUGAAAUGAUUUUAUUUUGUUAGUUUGGGCCUCAAGUGGAAAUUGCUGGAUAAUUUGGAAAGUAAUCCAUGGUUAUAUAUUCCAAAAAAUUCUUAAAGUGACUCACCUCUAGCCAAGCACCCAAAAAAUUCGGAUGUGCUGUCUAAUUUUGUGUUUGUUUUUGCUUUUGUAUUUACUGUGAAGCACAAUCCUCCACCAGAAAAGAAAGAGCAAAAGCAAAAACCGCUACUUUAAAAAAAGUUUAAUUUUUAUUUAUUUAUUUUAAAUUAAUAUUUUUUAGUAUUUUUAAAUUAUUGUGAUGUGUUAAGUUAAAAAUAAUUUUUUUUAAAAAAAAUAUUAUUUUAAUAUAUUUCUAAAUAAAAAUAUUUUAAAAAACAAUUACAACUAUAUUUUCAAACAAAAUACAAAACCUAUCACUAAAAGCAAAAAAAAACAUGAAAAUAAAAAUAAAGAAAAUACUUCUACAUUGUAAAUAAAGAAAAUACUUUUAGUUUUCUUUUCUUUUGGCUUUCUUUUUUUACUUUUGGCAUCUCGAAUCUGACAAGAGGAGCAUUGAACGUGGCAAUGAUUUCUCAUGAAGUUGCUUCACUUGUAAGUUUUGUUAAUUGAAUUUGUGAUGCCCAUCAAUCAUUUUUGCAAUUUUUAAUAGUGUGAUGUACUGUCGUUUCGUUUCCUUCCUCUUCUAUUACCAUCUUUAAUAAAUCCAAAUGAAUAAUAAAAAAAUAAAUCAACCUUAAACCUUUGGGAGAACCAAAGGAAUAAUAAUAAAAAACUUUAGAGGAGUGGUCUCAUGAUCACCAUUACUAGGUUUCUUUUCUUUUGUUAAAACUCAAGAAAGAGUUGGUGGUGGAUGGAUAGAUUACAAUUGACACAGAUUUUCUGCGUCUUCCUUAAGCGAUCAUUUUUUUUAUUUAGAUUAUAUUUUUUUUUGUAUCUUUUUUAAAAUUUAAAAUUUUUAUUUUUUUAAAUUAAUAUAUUUUUAGUAUUUUCAGAUUAUUUUGAUACAUUAAUAUCAAAAAUAAUUUUAAAAAAAUAAUAAAAAUAUUAUUUUAAUAUAUUUCUUAUUAAAAAAUAUUUAAAAAAACAAUCACAACUAUAUUUAUAAACCCCCCUGUAUGCCAUUUGUUUUCUUACUGGGUAGAUUGUGAAACGAUCAUUGAAAUGAUUUUUCUUUUUAUAAUGUUCUUUACUUGGAAUCUCGGAUAAUAAAAAUGAUUUAAAUGCAUUGAAACCCGAUCGAAACUUAAAUAAAUCAAUAUUUUUCUUUAUAAAAACAAAACAUUAUUAUAAUAAUCCAAGCCUUUUUCAAGUCAAUCCUCAAGUCAAGUUAUGACCACGUAAAAACCACUUCUUUUUUAUUUCAUUUUCACUUGAUAAAAGGCACCAUUAAUUGUGUGUUCCCUGCUCAUAUGUCAUUACACACUUCGUUUCUCGCUUCCUCUUGAUUCUCUUCCUCACCCAGAAACUCUCCUACCCAUUCAUUUCUAUACAAAUCGCAGUCUACCCCUUAAGCAAUGGAACUACCAACUUAUCUCUCCACGAUUUUCCAUCGCCUUUUUGAUCCGAUAAAGAAAUUUCUGGUUUCUGUUGCAGAGUCUGAUUUCAAUAUCCGCAAGCUUUCUGAUCUAACAAAGAAAUUUCUGGCUUCUGAUACAGUGGUACAUGUCCUCCAAUGGUUUAAGAAAGAAAACAUUCCUACAAUGGUUGCAGUGGUAGUGAUAGUACUCCUGUUUCUUAGUUGUUGCGGAUGUCUUGCCAAGAUUGUUCGUAGUUGCUGCGGAUGUCUUGCCUGGAGUGUUCGUAGUUGCUGCGGAUGUCUUGCCUGGAGCGUUCGUAGUUGCUGCGGAUGUCUUGCCUGGAGCGUUCGUAGUUGCUGCGGAUGUCUUUUCAAGAGUGUUAAAACAAUGAAAGCACCAGGGAGGAACUAUCGCAUACCAAGGAGUAAUUUUGAAGCAAAUCCUUCUGCUUAUUUUAGGGACUUGCGCAAGGGGUAGAAGAUAUAUAUCGAUCCUAAGCCUCCAAUAUGGUUGUUUCCAGUGACUUCUUCACCGGCAGCAGACUCUCUUUUCUUAUUCUCUUCAUCGACCGUACUGUAUUUUCUUCUUUUCGUGUGUUUUUCAAAAGCUCUGAUCUGUUCUAGCUAGUUGAUGCUUUGGGGGCUUAGUAGGAUGUUAUGCUGCAUGGGGUGGGGUGAGCUUGCUUCAACCUACAUGUUUCAAUAAUGAAUUGAAUUGGUCUUCAUGAUCAACCAUAUAUAUCCA
rnacentral:lncRNA from 1 species